AAUAAAUAAAUAAAUAAAUAAAUGAUGUAAUUUCGUCCCACCGUUGUGAUGUGGUUUGAUUUGUAGUCCGGUGGGGUGACAUCAUCGCUUGUGUCACAUCUAGUCCCUGUAUCAGCUCUGCUCAAAGGGGUGAUGGCUUAUUCCAGACUGCUGGUAUUCCUGUUUGUCCCUCGUUUCCAGUGAAGAGUGUCCUUUGGAAGCACCCAGGAGAGGAAGCAGUUGCCCCUCCACUGCGCCCCGAACAGGCUUGGGGUCGAGGUGCCCCCUCUUCUGGAGAGGCCUCACUUGGGGCCAGGCUGCUACAACAACCGCACUGUGAUCAGUUUUUCUUCUCAGCUGGAGAAGAGGCCCGAGAGCAGGAAGGGGUACACUAUAGGGGCUCGGACCACGGGCCGCUUCCUACCCUCUACUGCACAGUUGUCCAGUGUGCAGAGGCUCCCUCUCCAGUGGAGUACCAGGCAGAGUGGUGCCGUGAGCGCGUCUUCCCCCUGUACCCUGCCCCCUUCUGCUCCAGCACAGCGAUGUUCCAGAACCACGGCCCCCUCAAGUGCCCCACUCCAGGCUUCUCACCGACAAGGAAUUCCGAAAACAACGCAACAGGAUUGCCUACCUCAGCUUGUACUACAGCUAAGCCGUGCUGCUGAAGACUGCAUCA